UACGGGGGGGGCAAGCGUUGUUCGGAAUUACUGGGCGUAAAGGGCUCGUAGGCGGCCAACUAAGUCAGACGUGAAAUCCCUCGGCUUAACCGGGGAACUGCAUCUGAUACUGGAUGGCUUGAGUUCGGGAGAGGGAUGCGGAAUUCCAGGUGUAGCGGUGAAAUGCGUAGAUAUCAGGAGGAACACCGGUGGCGAAGGCGGCAUCCUGGGCCGACACUGACGCUGAGGAGCGAAAGCCAGGGGAGCAAACGGG
rnacentral:rRNA from 1 species